GACGAACGCUGGCGGCGUGCCUAAUACAUGCAAGUCGAACGAAGCUGUUUUAACUGGUGCUUGCACCGACUUAAACAACUGAGUGGCGAACGGGUGAGUAACACGUGGGUAACCUGCCCCAAAGCGGGGGAUAACAUUUGGAAACAGAUGCUAAUACCGCAUAACCACAGAAACCACAUGGUUUCUGUGUCAAAGAUGGUUUCGGCUAUCACUUUGGGAUGGACCAGCGGCCUAUUAGCUAGUUGGUAAGGUAAUGGCUUACCAAGGCAAUGAUACGGAGCCGAACUGAGAGGUUGAUCGGCCACAUUGGGACUGAGACACGGCCCAAACUCCUACGGGAGGCAGCAGUAGGGAAUCUUCCACAAUGGACGAAAGUCUGAUGGAGCAACGCCGCGUGAGUGAAGAAGGUUCUUGGAUCGUAAAACUCUGUUGUCAGAGAAGAACGUGUGCGAGAGUAACUGCUCGUGCAGUGACGGUAUCUGGCCAGAAAGCCACGGCUAACUACGUGCCAGCCGCCGCAGUAA
rnacentral:rRNA from 1 species